rnacentral:lncRNA from 12 species
GCACUCAUACAAGUGAGGAGACGCUACAUACCCAUAAAGAUGCUGUGGUCCUGAAGGUCCCGGCCUCGGCCAAUAGUACCAAAGAUCAACAGUAAAGGCCAGUACUCAUC